rnacentral:rRNA from 1 species
UACCUACGGGGCGCAGCAGUGGGGAAUAUUGGGCAAUGGGCGCAAGCCUGACCCAGCAACGCCGCGUGAAGGAUGAAGGUUUUCGGAUUGUAAACUUCUGUCGCGAGGGACGAAGAAUGACGGUACCUCGUAAGAAAGCCCCGGCUAACUACGUGCCAGCAGCCGCGGUAAUACGUAUGGUGCAAGCGUUAUCCGGAUUUACUGGGUGUAAAGGGAGCGCAGGCGGCACGGCAAGCCUGAUGUGAAAGCCCGCGGCCCAACCGCGGGACUGCAUUGGGAACUACCGGGCUGGAGUGCCGGAGAGG